UUCUUAGUUUACAUCCGAUUUUGAUGAAAUUUUCAGUGUUACACUUGUUGGAUUUUUCUCUUUUUAUUUGAAUCAACAUUGUGUUAAGGUGGACUUAUCCUAUAAAGAAGUCUUCUAAUUUAUAAUUUUUUAAAUGAAAUUCCAGUUGUCCUAUUUCAUGCAAGCAGUGAUUGUAUUGCACAUAUCUCACCAUGUACGUACAAACUGUUGAUAAUGGGAACACCAGGAAAGUCCUAAUGUUAGCGAAAAUCAAGUUCAACUUAGCAGAUGAAUUCAUACUUUCAUGUCCAAUGAUCAGUUCUAAUUUUACAAUAAUUUCAAAAUUUAUGAUUGAUUUUUCUCAAUGAAAACUUUACUUGUCAUAGAUUGCAAGGACAAAAGCCAUGAUUACCGGUAGACCAAAUGGGCAUAGCAUAACUGGAAAUUAGACAAACUGCCAGGUGGGCUUUGUGGCAAUGAACUUGUAGAAGAAAUGGGAGUAGACCAAGGAGCGAUCCAGGGCAUUACCCUAACUUGUAUAUGUUUCACCUCCAAAAUGCAUCAUGCAAAUAUAUGUUUACAGACUUAUUUGCUAAUGCUAUACAGUAUAUCAUUUGUGAGCAAGGUUGCCAAGUACAUUUUCUUUCAACUGUGUUGUUUAACUGUACCCAUGAAAUUAUUUCUAACUUUUGUUUAUUGUGCAGAACCAACGACUAGAUCCUGAAUAAUCAGAUAAUUUUCAAAGAUCCAUUAUAUUCUCUGUAGAGAAUGUUGCCUUUUCUUUAUCUCAAGUUAGUCAUCUGGGCCCGGUAACUCAAAGGUCAGCGAUUAAUCGCUAAAUGAAAUGGCCUAUCAAGAUCAUCGUUGCAUGUGCGUUUUGCUCUGUAGACUGUCUAGGAACCAAUCAGAAUUGUUCUUUCAAAUUAGCGAUUAAUGGCUAACCUUUGUGUUACUGGGCCCUGGGUUUCAUUCCAUACCAGGGUUUUUUUUUUCAUUUGGAAGAAAUAUGAAUCAAAUCAUGAUGUGGUCUUGAUAGAAUGAUUAAAUUUUGAAGAGAUUUCAAUUUGA